rnacentral:tRNA from 1 species
GGGGCGGUAGCUCAGCUUGGUAGAGCAUCGGACUUUUAAUCCGGUGGUCGCGGGUUCAAAUCCCGUCCGCCCCA